AGUUGGAAUCGCUAGUAAUCGCGGAUCAGCAUGCCGCGGUGAAUACGUUCCCGGGCCUUGUACACACCGCCCGUCACACCAUGAGAGUCGGGAACACCCGAAGUCCGUAGCCUAACCGCAAGGGGGGCGCGGCCGAAGGUGGGUUCGAUAAUUGGGGUGAAGUCGUAACAAGGUAGC
rnacentral:rRNA from 1 species